rnacentral:rRNA from 1 species
UACGGGGGGGGGCAAGCGUUGUUCGGAAUUACUGGGCGUAAAGGGCGCGUAGGUGGUUCUGUAUGUCUACCGUGAAAGCGUACGGCUCAACCGUAUUUUGUCGGUGGAAACUGCAGGACUUGAGGCUGGGAGGGGCUGGUGGAAUUCCCUGUGUAGCGGUGAAAUGCGUAGAGAUGGGGGAGAACACUCGUGGCGAAGGCGGCCUUCUGGACGGAUACUGACGCUGAUACGCGAAAGCGUGGGGAGCAAACAGG